GCUGCGGUUCCGGCUGCGCGCGAGGGUCAAGGUCGUGAGAGGCUUGUGCUGAGAGCGCGGGAGAAAGCCGGGAGGAAUUUAUUAGUGAGGGGUUGAUGAGGUCAGCCUGAGCUGCCACUGGCCAUCUUGCCACCAUGUGGGGAGUUUGACAGAGCAAUGGAAGAGCCAAGAUGUGAACAAGAGAUUGAAACCUGAUGCCAUCACUUGAGCCCUGCUGGUAGACAUGCCUGAAGCCAUUUUUUAUUUUCCUUUUUCAGUUAUUACAGUCAACUACUUUUUUCAGAGUCAUCCAGAAAAAGAUUAUAUUUCUGUGACUUGUAACAUCAGUGCUCCAUACUGUUGAAUAGGGAAAAUAUAGUAUGGCUUUAUUUUAGAAACAUCCCAUCCCUUGGGGUAAAUACAUGAAAUUUGAGAAGGAUAAAAUUGCA